GCGGUAAUACAGAGGUCUCAAGCGUUGUUCGGAAUCACUGGGCGUAAAGGGUACGUAGGCGGCGUCAUAAGUCGUGCGUGAAAGGCAGGGGCUCAACCUCUGGAGUGCGCGUGAUACUGUGAUGCUGGAGUAAUGGAGGGGGAACCGGAAUUCUUGGUGUAGCAGUGAAAUGCGUAGAUAUCAAGAAGAAGACUCGUGGCGAAGGCGGGUUCCUGGACAUUUACUGACGCUGAGGUACGAAGGCCAGGGUAGCGAAAGGGAUUAGAUACCCCUGUAGUCCUGGCAGUAAACGGUGCAUGCUUGGUGUGCGGGGAAUCGACCCCCUGCGUGCCGGAGUUAACACGUUAAGCAUGCCGCCUGGGGAGUACGGUCGCAAGAUUAAAACUCAAAGAAAUUGACGGGGACCCGCACAAGCGGUGGAGUAUGUGGCUUAAUUCGAUGCAACGCGAAGAACCUUACCAAGGCUUGACAUCCUGGGACCGUCUGUGAAAGCAGAUUUUCUAUUCGUAGACUCAGAGACAGGUGCUGCAUGGCCGUCGUCAGCUCGUGUCGUGAGAUGUUUGGUUAAGUCCAGCAACGAGCGCAACCCCUGCUGCCAGUUACCAUCAUUAAGUUGGGGACUCUGGCGGGACUGCCCAGAUCAACUGGGAGGAAGGUGGGGACGACGUCAGGUCAGUAUGGCCCUUAUGCCUUGGGCUGCACACGUACUACAAUGCCCAGUACAGAGGGAAGCCAACCCGCGAGGGUGAGCGGAUCCCGAAAAGUGGGCCCAGUUCGGAUUGGAGGCUGCAACUCGCCUCCAUGAAGCCGGAAUCGCUAGUAAUGGCGCAUCAGCUACGGCGCCGUGAAUACGUUCCCGGGUCUUGCACUCACCGCCCG
rnacentral:rRNA from 1 species